UUUAAUUGAAGAGUUUGAUCAUGGCUCAGAUUGAACGCUGGCGGCAGGCUUAACACAUGCAAGUCGAGCGGUAACAUUUCUAGCUUGCUAGAAGAUGACGAGCGGCG
rnacentral:rRNA from 1 species